UGUCCUGUCACGCAACAUAGGAAUCAAAUCAAGGGGGUGAACGGAUUUGCAACCUGGGAUUGAGAUCGGUUUGCUUUCAAUGCUAUAUUCUCCUUCUAUUUCUUUAUCCAAAGUGGGGCAUUGAAGACUAAGUGCAAUGACCCAUGCAUUGGUUGGUGCAAAAGCAAAUAUGGGUAGGUUUAGGUUUUUGGCUAGAGGUAUAACUUGGCUGAAGAAGAAGUCAGUGAUGAUCAUGGUUGGGUUUAGGUUCAUGGUGGAUAUUGUAGACAUAAAAAGUAGUGGGAUUUCAUGCAUUAUAAUUGCUAGUUUGGUUUCUAAGGUGUCAUGAGGACUAACAUGGAUGGAGAGAUCAAUAGGGGGGAGUUGAAUUAGAUCGAAAAGGUUUUCCUUUAUGGCUGAUUGGAGAAUUUGUGUCUCAGCUUUUGAUGGAGUAGAGGUUUUGAUUGAACCAUAAAAGAAGGUGAGUUUGGAAAUGAUUUUGUGAGUGACUAAACGCUUGGCAAGUUCUAGGGCAGGGAUUAUGUGACCUAUUCCUGGUGAAACAAGGAGAAGAGCAUGAUGAUUAUUGUUUGAGAUGGCCAUGAGAUGGGAAUUGCUUGAAUGGGAAUUGGGAAAGGGAAUCAAUGGAGGAUUGAGCUAGGCAGAGAUGCUUAUUUGGUAAUAUUUAUUUUUGAGAUAGUCAGAGAGAAAACGAAGGCAAACGAUAUUGGAGGAAUGGUGUGCAUUAUUGGAGGAAUGAUGCUUAUUUGCUCGUGUUAUUUAUUUUUUGGUUUUUUUUAUCUUUUCAGCUUUUUCACAAUAAUUUGUAGACAUUGAUCGUGACUUCACGUAUUUUUUUGUAGCAAGAAGUCAGAUGGGGAUGAUGAGGGGUCUAAAAGGUGGCAAGACAUGAAUGUGAUGUGUCAGAGGUCGGAGUGGGGAUGAUGGAUCAAUAAUCGCUUAGAUGCAGAGUGUGUGUUAAGAGAAAGCAAAGGCGUGAGUUUUAUCAAAUGGGGUAUUUUUAUUUUUGAUUUUUUUUAUA
rnacentral:lncRNA from 1 species